UAGAGGGUGAGAAUCCCGUCUUUGACUGAGAAUAUGCUACUAUGUGAUACGUUUUCAAAGAGUCGAGUUGUUUGGGAAUGCAGCUCAAAAUGGGUGGUAAAUUUCAUCUAAAGCUAAAUAUUGGCGAGAGACCGAUAGCGAACAAGUACCGUGAGGGAAAGAUGAAAAGAACUUUGAAAAGAGAGUUAAACAGUGCGUGAAAUUGUUGAAAGGGAAACGCUUGAAACCAGUCAUGCGGUUGGGAAAUCAGUCUCUGACGGGGGGGAAUGGGGGAGUUGUGGACCGCAAGGCCGCUCUUUUUCAUAUCUCUUUUGGCAGGGAUGCACUUUUUCUUCUGCAGGUCAACAUCAGUUUGCUUUGCCGGACAAAACUUGGGGGAAGGUGACAGCUUAGGCUGUGUUAUAGCCCUCGAGCGAUACGGUGGAGCGGACUGAGGUUUUCGCAGCAUGUGCUCUCGGGCAAGGCUGAUUGGGUGCUAUGAGAUCGUUCAGGGUACAAUACAUGUAUUUUGCUCUGUGUCCUUUUUAUACUCGCUCAACUCGGCUCUUCCAUGCUUAGGAUGUUGACAUAAUGGUUUUAAUCGACCCGUCUUGAAACACGGACCAAGGAGUCUAACAUAUAUGCAAGUGUUUGGGUGGCAAACCCAUGCGCGUAAUGAAAGUGAACGUAGGUGCGAUCCGCAAGGUGCAGCAUCGACCGAUCUUGAUAUUUUUGGAUAGAUUUGAGUAAGAGCAUAUAUGCUGGGACCCGAAAGAUGGUGAACUAUGCCUGAAUAGGGUGAAGCCAGAGGAAACUCUGGUGGAGGCUCGUAGCGAUUCUGACGUGCAAAUCGAUCGUCAAAUUUGGGUAUAGGGGCGAAAGACUAAUCGAACCAUCUAGGGGCCG
rnacentral:rRNA from 1 species